rnacentral:rRNA from 1 species
GACGAACGCUGGCGGCGUGCCUAAUACAUGCAAGUAGAACGCAGUUGCGAACGGGUGAGUAACGCGUAGGUAACUGCCUCAUAGCGGGGGAUAAGGAUUGGAAACGAUAGCUAAUACUGCAUACUGAGAGAGGGACCUGCGUUGUAUUAGCUAGGUGGUGAGGUAAAGGCUCAACAAGGCGACGAUACAUAGCCGACCUGGGGGGGUGGUCGGCCACCCUGGGACUGCGGCACGGCCCAGGCGCCUUCGGGAGGGCGCAGUAGGGAAUCUUCGGCCAUGGGCGGAAGUCUGUCCCAGCACCUGCGCGUGAGUUGAAAAGGUUUUCGGGUCUGAAAGCUCUGUUGUUAGGGGAGCGGUACCUAACGAGAAAGCGACGGCUAACUACGUGCCAGCAGCCGCGGUAAUUC